CCCGUAGCGUGCCUGUGAAACCGGGUAACUUGAGGGCAGGAGAGGGGAGUGGAAUUCCCAGUGUAGCGGUGAAAUGCGUAGAUAUUGGGAGGAACACCAGUGGCGAAGGCGGCUCUCUGGCCUAACCCUGACGCUGAGGCGCGAAAGCGUGGGGAUCAAACAGGAUUAGAUACCCUGGUAGUCCACGCCGUAAACGAUGGGUGCUAGGUGUAGGAGGUAUCGACCCCUUCUGUGCCGUAGCUAACACAAUAAGCACC
rnacentral:rRNA from 1 species